ACCCGCUGAACUUAAGCAUAUCAAUAAGCGGAGGAAAAGAAACCAACGGGGAUUGCCCCAGUAACGGCGAGUGAAGCGGCAAGAGCUCAAAUUUGAAAUCCGGCCCCGGGACCGGGGCCCGAGUUGUAAUUUGCAGAGGAUGCUUCGGGCGCGGCGGCGGCGCAAGUCCCCUGGAACGGGGCGUCGUGGAGGGUGAGAGUCCCGUACACCGUCGCACGUCCGCGGCCCGUGUGAAGCUCCCUCGACGAGUCGAGUUGUUUGGGAAUGCAGCUCCAAGCGGGUGGUAAAUUCCAUCUAAGGCUAAAUAUCGGCCGGAGACCGAUAGCGCACAAGUAGAGUGAUCGAAAGGUUAAAAGCACCUUGGAAAGGGAGUUAAACAGCACGUGAAAUUGUUGAAAGGGAAGCGCUUGCGGCCAGACCCGGGCGCGGGGGCUCAGCGGGCGAGAACCGCCCGUGGAUUCCCCCGCGGCACACCCGGGCCAGCAUCGGCCCCGACGGCCGGUCAAAGGCCCCCGGAACGUGUCGCCUCCAGGGGCGUCUUACAGCCGGGGGUGCAAUGCGGCCAGCCGGGGCCGAGGGACGCGCUUCGGCACGGAUGCUGGCGUAAUGGCCGCAAGCGGCCCGUCUUGAAACACGGACCAAGGAGUCUAACAUCCACGCGAGUGUUCGGGUGCUCAAACCCGCGCGCGCAGUGAAAGCGAACGGAGGCGGGAGCCCCCCCGGGGGCGCACCGUCGACCGAUCCUGAAGUCUUCGGAUGGAUUUGAGUAGGAGCGUGGCUGUUGGGACCCGAAAGAUGGUGAACUAUGCCCGAAUAGGGUGAAGCCAGAGGAAACUCUGGUGGAGGCCCGCAGCGGUUCUGACGUGCAAAUCGAUCGUCAAAUUUGGGUAUAGGGGCGAAAGACUAAUCGAACCAUCUAGUAGCUGGUUCCUGCCGAAGUUUCCCUCAGGA
rnacentral:rRNA from 1 species